rnacentral:rRNA from 1 species
UUAAGUUAAUAAGGGCGCACGGUGGAUGCCUUGGCACUAGGAGCCGACGAAGGACGUGACAAACGACGAUAUGCCUUGGGUAGCUGUAAGUAAGCGAUGAUCCAGGGAUUUCCGAAUGGGGGAACCCAACAGGUAAUACCUGUUACCUACAUCUGUUAAGGAUGUGAGGAGGAAGACGCAGUGAACUGAAACAUCUAAGUAGCUGCAGGAAGAGAAAGCAAAAGCGAUUGCCUUAGUAGCGGCGAGCGAAACGGCAGAAGGGCAAACCGAAGAGUUUACUCUUCGGGGUUGUAGGACUGCAAUGUGGACUCAAAGAUUAUAGAAGAAUGAUUUGGGAAGAUCAGCCAAAGAGAGUAAUAGCCUCGUAUUUAAAAUAGUCUUUGUACUUAGCAGUAUCCUGAGUACGGCGGGACACGUGAAAUCCCGUCGGAAUCUGGGAGGACCAUCUCCCAACCCUAAAUACUCCCUAGUGACCGAUAGUGAACCAGUACCGUGAGGGAAAGGUGAAAAGCACCCCGGGAGGGGAGUGAAAUAGAACCUGAAACCGUGUGCCUACAACAAGUUCGAGCCCGUUAAUGGGUGAGAGCGUGCCUUUUGUAGAAUGAACCGGCGAGUUACGUUAUGAUGCGAGGUUAAGUUGAAGAGACGGAGCCGUAGGGAAACCGAGUCUGAAUAGGGCGCCUUAGUAUCAUGACGUAGACCCGAAACCAUGUGACCUACCCAUGAGCAGGUUGAAGGUGCGGUAAGACGCACUGGAGGACCGAACCAGGGCACGUUGAAAAGUGCUUGGAUGACUUGUGGGUAGCGGAGAAAUUCCAAACGAACUUGGAGAUAGCUGGUUCUCUCCGAAAUAGCUUUAGGGCUAGCGUCGACAUUAGAGAUUCUUGGAGGUAGAGCACUGUUUGGGUGAGGGGUCCAUCCCGGAUUACCAAUCUCAGAUAAACUCCGAAUGCCAAUGAAUUAUGGUCGGCAGUCAGACUGCGAGUGCUAAGAUCCGUAGUCGAAAGGGAAACAGCCCAGACCACCAGCUAAGGUCCCAAAAUAAUUGUUAAGUGGAAAAGGAUGUGGGGUUGCACAGACAACUAGGAUGUUAGCUUAGAAGCAGCUAUUCAUUCAAAGAGUGCGUAAUAGCUCACUAGUCGAGUGACCCUGCGCCGAAAAUGUACCGGGGCUAAAACAAUUUACCGAAGCUGUGGAUACCUUUAUAGGUAUGGUAGGAGAGCGUUCUAUGUGUGAUGAAGGUAUACCGUGAGGAGUGCUGGAACGCAUAGAAGUGAGAAUGCCGGUAUGAGUAGCGAAAGACAGGUGAGAAUCCUGUCCACCGUAAGACUAAGGUUUCCAGGGGAAGGCUCGUCCGCCCUGGGUUAGUCGGGACCUAAGGAGAGACCGAAAGGUGUAUCCGAUGGACAACAGGUUGAUAUUCCUGUACUAGAGUAUGUAGUGAUGGAGGGACGCAGUAGGCUAACUAAAGCAGACGAUUGGAAGAGUCUGUCUAAGCAGUGAGGUGUGAAUUGAGUCAAAUGCUUAAUUCUAUAACAUUGAGCUGUGAUGGGGAGCGAAGUUUAGUAGCGAAGUUAGUGACGUCACACUGCCAAGAAAAGCUUCUAGCGUUUAAACAUACUCUACCCGUACCGCAAACCGACACAGGUAGUCGAGGCGAGUAGCCUCAGGUGAGCGAGAGAACUCUCGUUAAGGAACUCGGCAAAAUGACCCCGUAACUUCGGGAGAAGGGGUGCUGACUUAAAGUCAGCCGCAGUGAAUAGGCCCAAGCAACUGUUUAUCAAAAACACAGCUCUCUGCUAAAUCGUAAGAUGAUGUAUAGGGGGUGACGCCUGCCCGGUGCUGGAAGGUUAAGAGGAGUGCUUAGCGUAAGCGAAGGUAUGAAUUGAAGCCCCAGUAAACGGCGGCCGUAACUAUAACGGUCCUAAGGUAGCGAAAUUCCUUGUCGGGUAAGUUCCGACCCGCACGAAAGGCGUAAUGAUUUGGGCACUGUCUCAACGAGAGACUCGGUGAAAUUUUAGUACCUGUGAAGAUGCAGGUUACCCGCGACAGGACGGAAAGACCCCAUGGAGCUUUACUGCAGUUUGAUAUUGAGUGUCUGUACCACAUGUACAGGAUAGGUAGGAGUCUAAGAGAUCGGGACGCCAGUUUCGAAGGAGACGCUGUUGGGAUACUACCCUUGUGUUAUGGCCACUCUAACCCAGAUAGGUGAUCCCUAUCGGAGACAGUGUCUGACGGGCAGUUUGACUGGGGCGGUCGCCUCCUAAAAGGUAACGGAGGCGCCCAAAGGUUCCCUCAGAAUGGUUGGAAAUCAUUCGCAGAGUGUAAAGGUAUAAGGGAGCUUGACUGCGAGAGCUACAACUCGAGCAGGGACGAAAGUCGGGCUUAGUGAUCCGGUGGUUCCGUAUGGAAGGGCCAUCGCUCAACGGAUAAAAGCUACCCUGGGGAUAACAGGCUUAUCUCCCCCAAGAGUUCACAUCGACGGGGAGGUUUGGCACCUCGAUGUCGGCUCGUCGCAUCCUGGGGCUGUAGUCGGUCCCAAGGGUUGGGCUGUUCGCCCAUUAAAGCGGCACGCGAGCUGGGUUCAGAACGUCGUGAGACAGUUCGGUCCCUAUCCGUCGCGGGCGUAGGAAAUUUGAGAGGAUCUGCUCCUAGUACGAGAGGACCAGAGUGGACUUACCGCUGGUGUACCAGUUGUCUUGCCAAAGGCAUCGCUGGGUAGCUAUGUAGGGAAGGGAUAAACGCUGAAAGCAUCUAAGUGUGAACCCCACCUCAAGAUGAGAUUUCCCAUGAUUAUAUAUCAGUAAGAGCCCUGAGAGAUGAUCAGGUAGAUAGGUUAGAAGUGGAAGUGUGGCGACACAUGUAGCGGACUAAUACUAAUAGCUCGAGGACUUAUCCAA